rnacentral:rRNA from 1 species
AUUGAACGCUGGCGGCAGGCCUAACACAUGCAAGUCGAGCGGAGCGGCGGACGGGUGAGUAAUGCCUAGGAAUCUGCCUGGGAGUGGGGGAUAACGUCCGGAAACGGGGGCUAAUACCGACAACUAUCAGAUGCGCCUAGGUCGGAUUAGCUAGUUGGUGGGGGAAAGGCCUACCAAGGCGACGAUCCGUAACUGGUCUGAGAGGAUGAUCAGUCCCACUGGAACUGAGACACGUCCCAGACUCCUCCGGUAGGCAGCAGUGGGGAAUCUUGCACAAUGGGCGAAAGCCUGAUCCAGCCAUGCCGCGUGUGUGAAGAAGGUCUUCGGAUUUUAAAUCACUUUAAGUUGUGAGGCGUUACCAAAAGAAUAAGCACCGGCUAACUUCGUGCCAGCAGCCGCGGUAAGUC